rnacentral:rRNA from 1 species
UACAGAGGGUGCGAGCGUUAAUCGGAAUUACUGGGCGUAAAGCGCGCGUAGGCGGCUUUGCAAGUCGGGUGUGAAAUCCCCAGGCUUAACCUGGGAACUGCAUUCGAGACUGCAUUGCUAGAGUAUGGGAGAGGGAAGUGGAAUUUCAGGUGUAGCGGUGAAAUGCGUAGAUAUCUGAAGGAACAUCAGUGGCGAAAGCGACUUCCUGGACCAAUACUGACGCUUAUGUGCGAAAGCGUGGGGAGCAAACAGG